rnacentral:rRNA from 1 species
AUUAGUGGCGAACGGGUGAGUAACACGUGAGUAACCUGCCCUUGACUCUGGGAUAAGCGUUGGAAACGACGUCUAAUACCGGAUACGAGCUUCAGCCGCAUGGCUAGGAGCUGGAAAGAAUUUCGGUCAAGGAUGGACUCGCGGCCUAUCAGCUUGUUGGUGAGGUAAUGGCUCACCAAGGCGACGACGGGUAGCCGGCCUGAGAGGGUGACCGGCCACACUGGGACUGAGACACGGCCCAGACUCCUACGGGAGGCAGCAGUGGGGAAUAUUGCACAAUGGGCGCAAGCCUGAUGCAGCAACGCCGCGUGAGGGACGACGGCCUUCGGGUUGUAAACCUCUUUUAGCAGGGAAGAAGCGCAAGUGACGGUACCUGCAGAAAAAGCACCGGCUAACUACGUGCCAGCAGCCGCGGUAAUACGUAGGGUGCAAGCGUUGUCCGGAAUUAUUGGGCGUAAAGAGCUCGUAGGCGGUCUGUCGCGUCUGCUGUGAAAACGCGAGGCUCA